rnacentral:rRNA from 1 species
UACGUAGGUGGCGAGCGUUGUCCGGAUUUACUGGGCGUAAAGAGCGCGCAGGCGGCUGGGCAAGUCCGAUGUGAAAGCUUCCGGCUUAACUGGAAAAUUGCAUCGGAAACUGCUCGGCUUGAAGGUGGGAGAGGGUAGCGGAAUUCCCGGUGUUAGUGGUGAAAUGCGUAGAUAUCGGGAGGAACACCAGUGGCGAAGGCGGCUACCUGGCCCCACUCUUGACGCUGAGGCGCGAAAGCUAGGGGAGCAAACGGGG